rnacentral:rRNA from 1 species
CCUAGUACGGCGAGUGAAGAGGGAAAAGCUCAAAGUUGGAACCUGGUGGGCAUAGCUCACCCGGAUUGUAAACUAAAGUUUUUGAGUCGUUUAGUCAGCCAGGUAAAUAAGUCCUCUGGAAAGGGGCGACAUAGAGGGUGAAAUCCCCGUCUUUGGCCUGAGUUUUGGUUAGGCGUUUGGCUUGGAAACGAAGAGUCAGGUUGUUUGGGAAUGCAGCCUAAAAUGGGAGGUAAAUCUCUCCUAAAGCUAAAUAUUGACGAAAGACCGAUAGCGAACAAGUACCGUGAGGGAAAGAUGAAAAGCACUUUGAAAAGAGGGUCAAAAAGUACGUGAAAUUGCUGAAAGGGAACCGUAUGAAAUCAGACCUACUGGUAGGUAAUCAAUCUUUCCCUUGGGAAGGAUGCACUUGCCUGCUAUGUAUGCCAGCGACAUUUUGGUUGGGAGGAAAAAAAUAGAGGGAAUGUAGCCUAGGCUUCGGUUUAGGUGUUAUAGACUUUUAUAAAAUACUCUCGGCUGGAAUGAGGAACGCAGCAAACCGUAAGGCGAAGAUUCUAGUCGCUUGGGGGGAAUAAUUAGAGAAUUUCUGCUUCGGGUGGUGCUUUGAUUAUUACUUUCAACUCGGUUGGAGUUCUUUUAAUUUGCUUAGGUUGUUGGCUUAAUGAUUU